AGUGAACGCUGGCGGUAGGCCUAACACAUGCAAGUCGAACGGCAGCACAGUAAGAGCUUGCUCUUACGGGUGGCGAGUGGCGGACGGGUGAGGAAUACAUCGGAAUCUACUUUUUCGUGGGGGAUAACGUAGGGAAACUUACGCUAAUACCGCAUACGACCUACGGGUGAAAGCAGGGGAUCUUCGGACCUUGCGCGAUUGAAUGAGCCGAUGUCGGAUUAGCUAGUUGGCGGGGUAAAGGCCCACCAAGGCGACGAUCCGUAGCUGGUCUGAGAGGAUGAUCAGCCAGACUGGAACAUAGUCACGGUCCAGACGCCUACGGGAGGCAGCCGUGGGGAAUGUUUGACAAUGGGCGCAAGGCUGAACCAGCCAUACCGCGUGAAUGAAAAAGGCCUUCUUGUUGUCAAGCCCUUUUGUUGGGAAAGAAAAGCAGCAGGUGAAUACCCCGCUGUUCUGACGGUACCCAAAGAAUAAGCACCGGCUAACUUCGUG
rnacentral:rRNA from 1 species